CUCUUCCCUCCUCCCCUCCUCCCGUACCGUCUCUUUCGCUUCGACGAUGGCGAGCGGAAGAUGGAGGGCGGACUGUGAGCGAAGGAUAAGGGCACGAGCGGAUGGCGAUAACGAUCGGUAGUGACGGCGUCGAAAGCGAAAUGGAACUCUGAAUUCUGUCGGAGCAAUGGUGGUGGCUCCAAGUCGGAGAGGUUCAUAUCAAUCAGGGAUCGCAAUAUGUCAUCCAAUGAGAAUGGUCGAUUGCGAAGCAACUGAUUCUCUGACUCCAAUGUGCUGAUCUUGCCUUCGAGGCUGAAGAACAGUUCCAAUUUAUAAAUCAAGCUCUUUGCGAAGUCAUUUUAGAGACAAAAUAUCAAUUCAUAAUGUAAGGGCACGUGCAAUUCCAUAUCAGGUGAGUUCUUCGACCUUCUUUUCAAGCUUGUCCUUGGCUUCUUUGAGUGCUCCUGUCUCUCUUGCAGCCUACAGAAACAUUUUGUCAGUAUUUGUACUUCUCUUCCAUAACAUCCAACAAACUGUAGACAAGAACGAGCUUUGUAUAGACGCCAUUGAGUCUGCAGGCCACAACAAAAAAUAGAUUAAUACUUCUAAUCAAUCUUAAGGUACUUAUUCAACACAAUUUCCCAUUAGUCGAUUCCACUUACUUGUAUGAUUAUAGCAGCGUUGGUUCUCCUUCUAUGUCUGUAUACAUUUCGAGCUGCCAUCGCUCGUAGUCCUGUUUCUAUAACUAUUGCAGAUGAUCGCAGUUUUGUGUAAGCUUUUCUUGCAGCAUGAGAACGUGCAUAUUUCUGAAUGCGGAUUGAGGCAUCUUCUCUCCUCAUGCCUUCAUAUAACUUGCGUGCAAGACGUGCUGCAGAUGUUUUUGCAUUUGAAUUGAGGCUUUGCGCAGUAUUAUGAAUUCUUUUCGAGCAAGAUGUGUGCGUAUCUGCCUCUGAAUUAGUUUGGAAGCAUUAGAUAAGACUUCCAUUCGUCGGGCAUCUAGCUCAGCCAUCUGACCAGCUCUGAGGAACACUUUUGUCUUUCCUAUCUGAUAGCAAGAUAUGUGAGUGGUGUUUAGAUUUAGAAUAUAUAAUUCAUAUUCAUUUAGGUAGUUUCUAUCUCUGAUGUCCUUUUUCUUAGUUUAUUGUUUAUUCACUGAAUGCACCUGAUAACCUUUCAAGCCCAUAUUGUCACAUAUAGCUGCACAUGCUGCUUUUUCGUCGGAGCUGCAAGAUUCAUUUGGACAUGUACCUGUCUACAAGAUCUGGUGCAAGAAUUCCAAAGCGAUCAACAAAUUCAUCAAAUGUUCUCUUUGUGGGAUAGCCAGCACAACUAAUCCUGAUUGCCUCUAGCACACCCUAGAUUAGGAGAGAAGAGGACAUUGAAAUUCUCAAAGAUGCCUGGUUUUAAGACUGCAUUGGGCUUCACACAUCUGAUCCCUUGCAUACCUUAAAGCGAGUGCCUAUUGAGGAGAACUUUGACUGUUUUGAAGUUUCCUCUGCUAAUGGUGGAAAGAGGUUUGCCACAAAAGGGCACUUUGAAUCGUUUAAAAGAGCUUGAUGUUCUGCGACAACAUAGUCUUUGUUCUUAUCAAGGAAUUGAUCAGCUUGCAUAAUGGUUGAUGGUGAAUGCAGUGCGUGCAAGUUUUGGCUUGCUAAAACGUUUGUGGCUUUUGUAUGUUUGGUACAUCUUCUGAGCAAAGAUAAUUUUCCAACCAAAAGAAAAGAAGGAAACAGAUGUACCAUGCUUCAUCAAGUAGCGCAACUAUUCCGCCGGGUUUCUGCAUUGAAACAGGGUUUGAAUUACUCAUUGUGGGUAUAGUGUGAAUGCCAAGGGCGAUGUGUCUUUUACCUCCAAGACCUGCUGCUCGACGCAAGCAUCUGCAACUGCAAAAAGAUGAGGACUUAGCUCACCGAAAGCAGCACCCUUGUACUGUUCCAUCAUGUGGACAUCAUACAGAUGUGGAAGUCUCCGAAAGGGGUUCACGGCUAUCAAUAUAUUUCCAGUGUUGAUCAGGAAGAUAGAACGUACAUAAAUCUCAUUCAGUGCAUAGCGAGCUGCGAGGUUAUUCAGAACUCCUGGUUCAUGGAGGUAAGCCAAUUUGGUCAUGUCAUCCACUCCAGCCUGAGGAGCCUCUGUAUCUUUCGGGUAUAUACUCGACAGACUAGCCACGACCUGCGUAAUUGAUCGAGACUCGUGAGAUAUGCUUCUGAAAAGUAUUGAGAUACUUCAGGCUGGAGCAAACAAUAUCAUCUUCCGCUAUCAAAACGAGAAAUUGUCGACUUCAUUGUAACAUUUGUCUGUUCUAGUAAAUCCAUCGCACCGAGAAAGAAACUGUAUGAUCUUAUAAAAUAUUGUCUCCAGAAGUAGAUGACCCAUUUGUUGUGACACAACACGAGUAAAUCGUUGCAGAUUUGUAUAUGAAUUACUAACUGGAUUCCAUCUUAUACGACCCUCGUGGCUUGAUUCUUCAUGUUGA